UAUAAAACUGGCGUUGUGGAC
rnacentral:piRNA from 1 species